GACGAACGCUGGCGGCGUGCCUAAUACAUGCAAGUAGAACGCUGAAGGAGGAGCUUGCUUCUCUGGAUGAGUUGCGAACGGGUGAGUAACGCGUAGGUAACCUGCCUGGUAGCGGGGGAUAACUAUUGGAAACGAUAGCUACUACCGCAUAAUAGCAGUUGUUGCAUGAUAACUGUUUGAAAGGUGCAAUUGCACCACUACCAGAUGGACCUGCGUUGUAUUAGCUAGUUGGUGGGGUAACGGCUCACCAAGGCGACGAUACAUAGCCGACCUGAGAGGGUGAUCGGCCACACUGGGACUGAGACACGGCCCAGACUCCUUCGGGAGGCAGCAGUAGGGAAUCUUCGGCAAUGGACGGAAGUCUGACCGAGCAACGCCGCGUGAGUGAAGAAGGUUUUCGGAUCGUAAAGCUCUGUUGUAAGAGAAGAACGAGUGUGAGAGUGGAAAGUUCACACUGUGACGGUAUCUUACCAGAAAGGGACGGCUAACUACGUG
rnacentral:rRNA from 1 species